rnacentral:rRNA from 1 species
UGGGGAAUAUUGCACAAUGGGCGCAAGCCUGAUGCAGCCAUGCCGCGUGUAUGAAGAAGGCCUUCGGGUUGUAAAGUACUUUCAGCGGGGAGGAAGGGAGUAAAGUUAAUACCUUUGCUCUUUAACGUUACCCGCAGAAGAAGCACCGGCUAACUCCGUGCCAGCAGCCGCGGUAAUACGGAGGGUGCAAGCGUUAAUCGGAAUUACUGGGCGUAAAGCGCACGCAGGCGGUUUGUUAAGUCAGAUGUGAAAGCCCCGGGCUCAACCUGGGAACUGCAUCUGAGACUGGCAAGCUUUAGUCUCGUAGAGGGGGGUAGAAUUCCAGGUGUAGCGGUGAAAUGCGUAGAGAUCUGGAGGAAUACGGGUGGCGAAGGCGGCCCCCUGGACGAAGACUGACGCUCAGGUGCGAAAGCGUGGGGAGCAAACAGG